GGAGGAGUGGCCGAGUGGUUUAAGGCGGCGGUCUUGAAAACCGUUGUGGGGUGACCCCCCACCGUGGGUUCGAAUCCUACCUCCUCCGCCA
rnacentral:tRNA from 1 species